AUUGGACGUAGGGAGCCUAGAACUCCGCAGCCACCAGAUAGGACCGGUACUUUGCAUUUCAGGCCCAAUCUUUGCCUACUGGAAUUGCAGCCAGGUGGUCUGAUUAACACAGCUUAUUCCAUCUCUUCUAUCUUCCUAUUCGAGGUAAGGUGACAAGAUUCAAGGCCUAUGUGAUUAUUUCCAUUCUUCUCAAAGCGGUUUGUAGGUCUUUGAAAGUCGAGGGCUUCCCUGGACCUACAAUGGCCUUCAGGCGAACCUGCCGCAGCCAGGCUGCAGAGUCUUGCCUGUAGGGGGCACUGCCCACCAACUCUUUGGAAGCAAACCUCUAUUCUAGCUUUGAAAUCUGCCAGCAGGACCCAAAGGAAGGUGCGCUCCCAAGCUGCUCAUGCACUUCAAUAGAACCCCACUCUUCAGAAGGGGCUUAUGAAGGAUUGCCAUGAUACCCAGAAGUCUUGGAAAAGACGAGAGCUUCCUGUCGGCCUGCUGUCUCCAUGUGUCUCAACAACUCCUCUGUCUCAGCCCUUUGUUAUUACAAACCACACCUGGCUGGCAGAACACUUGUCCAGAUGGUGAGGAGUGACUUAGAGGGAGGGCCAAGCAGCUUUGUCCAGGUCCUGACCUGCCCAGUUGAGAGGUGGGGAAGAGGGUCUUUGCUCACAUAGCCAGUAGUGGCGUCUGCCGAUGGGUUCUGUGUCAUUAAACUUUACAGGAAGAGCACAGAACGUUGGGUAAACGGGUGAGAGAGGCAGGUUUCACGAUGUGCCCCUGAAAACCAGCUGUUCCCUAGGAUGAAGUAGUGAGGUCAGAAUUGUCCUCCGUGUUUCCUGUCUGAAUGACUCACCCUCUUCUCUGUCCCCAGGAAGCCCGGCUGGCUUCUUACGGAUGGAGAGGUGUAGGACAGUCAAAGGCAAUGGGAGCAGGACUGAGAUUUGUAGCCUGCUUUGGAGGGGGCUUGCAUUGGAAGACGCUCUGCCUUGGGUGGCGCUAAUAGCUUGGUUUGACCAUAGGACAGUGUGCAGGCUCAUGGUCUCAAGGGCCUUCCUCUUGGCCUCUCAGGGUCUCUGGUCCUUGAUCUUAGAGUGUUUAUCAAUGUCAACUUUGAACAUUACUCAUGACUCAGCCAAAUGUCAGCAAUAACUCUGCCCAUGGAGCUGCCUCCCCCUCCUAUUUUGUAACAUUAAGGCUUUCUGUUGUCUGGUGGAGAAGUCGUUUAUUCUCAACUCAGAUCCCUGGGGCCCUGAGCAAUUAUGACUUCCACAUCAUUAGAGGACAGUGACGCAACUGUCACUCCCUCUGUGGGGAGACUAUGCCUAUGUUACUAAUCAUUUCAGUCUCAAGUAGUUCCAAUGUGACCCAGAAGGUUGAAUAUAUCUUUAAAGGGAUUGACGUGGUCCCCACUAAUCUAGUGUUCAGAGGCCAGCUCUGUUCUCUCUAUGAACCAACAAAGAUAGCAACCAGUGUUCUCUUUGGAGAAGCAAUUCUUUUUACAGGCACGAGGAAUUGUUCUGAGAUGGUUCAGUCAGUACAGUGCUGGCCAUGCAAGUGGGAGGACCGUGAAUUUGACUCUCAGGAUCCACAUAAAAAAGGGGAGCCAGGCAUGGUGGCACACACCUUUAAUGCCAGCAUUCAGGAUGCAGAGGCAGGUGGUUCAACUGUGAGUUUGAGGCCAGCCCACAAAGAGAGUUCCAGGACAACCAGGGCUGUUAUACAGAGAAACCCUGUCUUGAAGUAAAUAUACACAGACAAACAAAUAGUGGCAUGCAUCUGUAAUCUCAGUGGUGGAGAGGUUUGAAAAAGGCAAAUUCCUGGGGAUGGUGGAGCCUCCUCUACGUGGUGGACCCCCAGGUGAGGCAGUGAGAGACCCUGUUUCAAGAACAAGUUGGAUGGUUUCUGAGGAAUAAUUCUUCAGGUUGUCCUUUGGCCUUGGUACUUUCUCUCUCUUAUAAACAGGUGUGUGAACGCGCGCGCGCACACACACAGACACAGACAUACACACAGACACGCACAUGUCAUAGUUCCUGUUAAUCCAGCUUCCAGAGGUUAGCUGUGUUCCUUCCCAGAACCAACACAGAGAAUGGCAGUUUUCUCUUUGUAGGAGGAGCCGGUUUUUUUUUUUUUUUUUUUUUUUUUUUUUUUGAGAAGAAACGUUCUGAAAUAAAGUUUCUUCUGCCCCAGCACAAUCCUUGAGGCAGCCCUGGAACACCACAGCUUGCUGUGAGACCUAUGCAAAUCUAAGGGUUGAGGGUCAUAGGUUGACUUAGUGGAUACAAACUGCACUCAAGUGACAUUGAAUCAGAGAUGAGGAAAUGUCAACUAGCCUCCCCAUGUGGCAUUAUGGCCAAAGACUGACAUUUCAGAUAGGAGGAAGUCAUUACGAGUGUUCUGAUGAAAGUAAAGUGACCAUCAGUCCUCAAAGAACUUGCAGCCAGCUCUGAUCUACUGUUCCUCUGCUUCCUCCUAAGGGUCUGUCUCCCUCUUGCCCCUUGUACUGGCUGGUUUUGAAGAAAGUCAGAGUCAUCAGAGGUAGGACCCUCAGUAGUUGAGCAAAUGCCUCGAUGAGAUCCAUCUGUAAGGAGGAGAUAACUCCUGGAGGUCCUGAAGGCUGAACCCAGACCGUGAGCCUGGUCUUGGAGGCAGAAGAAUCCUGAGUGAUUAGAGGAGCUCUCCCUCUGCUGGCCUCCACGAUGCCCUCCAUCUCCCAGGUCGUCCCCAGAAUUCCCUCCCACCAGCUGUGCAAUGGCCCCAGAGCCAUCAUCAGGGCCUGUUAAGUCCUUCAGCUUCUGAGUCCUGAGUCAGAAGGGUGUAACUUUCCCUUCUGCCUCUUUCUUUUGAAUGCUGAGAGGGCGUUGUCACUGGACCCGAUCCUCAGGUUCCCCUGGAGACCUGGCAGCUGCUCCUUAAGCCUUGGUAGAGAAGAAGUGACUUCUUGCUGCUGUUCAUACUUGGGUGGAAUCAGGAAGAGUGUUCCUGGGAUACUGGGCCAAGCUGUUGGCCCAUCCAGAACUCUGAAUGCUCUUGAAGAUGCAAAGAGGUUGCCAGGUGCUGUAAGGUCCUGGGGCCUGGAACCCCCACCAUGACCCUGGGAAAGAUGUGUGAUCAGUGCCUAUCUAGCGUGGUCCUGGGUCCAUGCCCCCCCCCAACUGGUAAAGAUUUUAGAUUGUUACCUGGAGCUGCAUGCCAGGACCCUACAACCAGAUGGAGGGGCGCUCAGGAAGCAGUCUCACUCAAAUGCCACUGGGCUUUGAGGCAAAUAAGGCAUUCAUCCUCCCCUGUUGGGGUUCCACCCUGGUUCCUACGUCUCUGCAGUCACUGAGUGUGGGGGAUUGCGAAAUUGAAGUUGUGAAUGGGGCUGCCCAGGGUGCCAUGUGUGUCUGUUUGGAAGUCAGUAUGGAGACAGGCUGACCUUCCAUAAGUACAGCUUCCUCUGAACAUCUGAAGCUGUUGGGUCCUCGGGACGACAGGAAUGGAGCACCUGGUGACCCCCUCAGGAUCUGGCCCUGCUCAGCAAGAGGGAUUGGAGCUGGUCAUGGUCUUCUGUCUUCUGUAUACAGUGUUUCUGACAGCUGGUUUGUGCCGAGUUACUGCCAGCCCUUCCCCAGUACUUACUGAGGACACUGGGUUCUCCAGGGCUGGUAAGGAGUCCUCAGAAAAGGACAUCAAGCCUUGAAUGGGUUGGGCAGGCUCUGGGCCUCCCAGGUAUGCAGGAGCGUCUACAGAGUGCCCCUGUCCUCGGUAGGGAGAAACAGGGAGCAGGCUGUAAGGAACAGCAGCCAUACUUCAAAAGUGGUUCUACCCUGGGGAUAAGGCUCAGCUGGUAAAAUGCUUUCCUUGCAAGCAGGAGGAUAUGAGUUUAAUACUGAGGAUCCUGUUCAAACAAAAAAUUCUGGUGUGGUGGAGUGUGCUAGCAACACUGGGGAGGCAGAGGCUUGAGGCCAAUCAUCUUGCCAACAGAUGAUUUUAGACCAAUAAGAGACCAUGUAUCAAAACAAUGUGGAUGACACCUGAGGAAUGACACCACAGGUUACACACACACACACACACACACACCACACACACACACACACACACCACACACACACACACACACACCACACACACACACACACACACCACACAACACACACACACACACACACACACACACACACACACACACGCACAUUUGGGCGUGGUCAGAGUGAUGUAGCAACACUUUAACUAUGAGGGUCGCAUGCACGGGGCUCUCUAUGUUCCCUGACCCGCCUGGUUGUACAGUACUGAAUUCGUCUCGUUAGUACUUUCCUAAUAAACCAUCUGCUCAUCAAACUA